GGUGCGAUCAUACCAGCACUAAAACACCGAAUUCCAUCAGAACUA
rnacentral:rRNA from 3 species